GACGAACGCUGGCGGCGUGCUUAACACAUGCAAGUCGAACGGAAAGGCCCUGCUUUUGUGGGGUGCUCGAGUGGCGAACGGGUGAGUAACACGUGAGUAACCUGCCCCUGACUUUGGGAUAACUUCAGGAAACUGGGGCUAAUACCGGAUAGGAGCUCCUGCUGCAUGGUGGGGGUUGGAAAGUUUCGGCGGUUGGGGAUGGACUCGCGGCUUAUCAGCUUGUUGGUGGGGUAGUGGCUUACCAAGGCUUUGACGGGUAGCCGGCCUGAGAGGGUGACCAGCCACAUUGGGACUGAGGGACGGCCCAGACUCCUACAGGGGGCAACAGGGGGGAGUAUUGCACAGUGGGCGGAAGCCUGAUGCGGCAACGCCGCGUGCGGGAUGACGGCCUUCGGGUUGUAAACCGCUUUCGCCUGUGACGAAGCGUGAGUGACGGUAAUGGGUAAAGAAGCACCGGCUAACUACGUG
rnacentral:rRNA from 1 species